UUGAAACACAUAACAAUAGAAGAGAUGCAUUGCAUGUGUAUUGUCUUUUAAUCAUGCACAUUUUGGUGCAUGAUUAUUGUCAAAUGGUUUGUCUAAUACUGAGUAGAUCCGCACGUAUGUCAAGGUUCUUAAUAUGGAACCAUUAGAUGAUGGAUGACCAUUUUUUGCAAUAUCUGACUGAGGAAUAAUGGUACAAUUGAUAAGGGUUGGACUUCCCUCUGCAACCAUCCUCUUUGCUAGAGUAAUUCAAGGCUGCAAAGUGACAUAAUCAUGGAUGGUGUUACCUAAUGGGCUGGAGAGUUUCUAAAUUAUGAGAUGUGCAUGAUUAAGCAGGCCCUGCUUCAUUACCGAAAAAGGCUUUCGCCCCGUUUUA